rnacentral:rRNA from 1 species
UACGUAGGGUGCAAGCGUUGUCCGGAAUUAUUGGGCGCAAAGAGCUCGUAGGCGGCUUGGCAAGUCGGGUGUGAAACCUCCAGGCUCAACCUGGAGACGCCACCCGAUACUGCCAUGGCUAGAGUCCGGUAGGGGACCACGGAAUUCCUGGUGUAGCGGUGAAAUGCGCAGAUAUCAGGAGGAACACCGGUGGCGAAGGCGGUGGUCUGGGCCGGAACUGACGCUGAGGAGCGAAAGCGUGGGGAGCGAACAGG